CUUGCCCCUCUGCCCCGCCACCGAGCGUAGCCCUGCGGGUUUCUUUGCUCCUCCUCACCUCGGCACUUCCCUUUCUGGGCUCUCUCUGGGUGCCAAGUUUCGGCUCGGAGUGAACUUUUUAUAAACUGCUGAACAACGAGGUUUGAUGGAGGUGCUGACACAGCAUUAACUGUAGCGUUGAAAAUAGUGUGAGGAUCUAAAGGCAUAUUUAGGUUUCCAGGUUCCGUACAGAGCCUUGGGAACUUAGGAAGAACUGUCCCCUUGCUGCUGUCGGCUUGAACUCAGGCUUCUGAGAUACUGGGCAGCCACUGAAAUUUCUUACUGCAGGAGUGUUCUUAUUUAGCUCUUAGAGUCAUGGGCAAGAGCACACUCGGUGCAAAACUGUCAAAUGCCAGCAAAUCUCUUCUGAGCAUGUGUGAACCAAGAUUCAUCAAGUGUGGCCAGAUGUGGGUGUACAUAAUGUAAAUAAACAUGCUCUGUAAAAGCAAAUCUUUGACACAA